rnacentral:lncRNA from 1 species
GAAGGAUUUUCCAAGUGCUUUUGGAUUGGUUCAAGCUUUUAGCAUAUGUAUGUUAUCAAUAGCUUCUUCCAAAAAAUAUUUUCAAAGUUAAUUUAGUCUUAAACCAAAUUAAAGUUCCACUUGUUUCAGAGCUUCUUAGAGGUAUUAUUUAUUUUUUUAAUUCAAAGGAAACAAAAAUUUUAAACUUCUUACAAUGUCUAUAUGUUGAAGUUAAAUUUGAUACUGUUAAAAAGAAACAGCUAUCAUCUUUUAAAGGUUUCCAUCUAGUGGCAAAGUUAUUAUGAGCAAGAGAUAGGACCUCAGUGAUUAAAGUAGGUAGAUACAGUCAUAUUAGGCAAAUGUUUCACCCUUAGUCCUAAACAAAGUUGAGAACCAUGCACUAAAUACAUUCAAGAUACUAACAGCAAAAGUAAGCCACUAAACCAUAGCUAAGAAUAAGGCCACUUGCUUUUAGCUUCACUUAGAUUGCUAUGUUUGUUAUAUCUUUGUACCUAUUGUAAUUUACAUAGUUGAAACUUAUUUAUUAUAGAUAAAAGCAAAGAAAAGGGCAGAGAAUUUACAUGUUUUAUUCUGUAAGGUUUUGUCACAACUUCAGUAUCAACUUGUAAAACAAAAUAUUGUGCAGCACUUGGAAUGGAAUUUGAGAAUAUCUCAAAAAAUAUAGCAUUGGGUGACAUUCUCUUAUGGAACUGGUCCUGUGAUUAUUAGGAUGAUACUUGUUUGCCAGUGGAACCCAAGUGUUCCAUUAAUCAGUAAGACAUGGUGAGCUUUAAAUGUUUACAUUUUUUUAAGGCUAUCUCCAUUCUAAAUAUAUGUUUCAGCAACAUAUUUCGUAUGCUGGCCAGGGAGAACGAAGAAGGAAUACCUCAUUGAGAUAAUUCCUGUGAACAGUUACAUGCAAGAUUCAUAAAUCCAGUGAUUAAAAUGAAAAUAUUAUCACAGAAACUCACAUGUAACAUGGUGUAUUCCGACAAAAUAUGCUUUAACUACAUCAAUUGUAUUUAGUAUGAGGUUCAUAUUAGUCCAAAGGAAAGGGCAACAUAGUGACUAAAAGUUUCAUAUUGCUUUUCCAACAAUGUUUUAUUAUGUGAAAAUUUACUGAAUUUGGACUUAAAAUGCUGAGGAAUUCUAAGUACAUUGAGGCCCCUAACCUAAUGGUUCAUUUGAAAUUACUCCAAGCUCUGCUUUGACUCAACUGACCAUUAGGGUUAAUUGUCAUCAAACAGGGCUUUCUGACAUAUUGUAAGUUUAGAUUUUAGCUUACUUUGUGCUGCAGCAUCCUGUGCUGAUUUUCCAAGGAUUUUCCACCAAUUGUAGAGAGCAAUUAUGAGCUUGGGAAGAGGUGAAGCCAAAGAGAGCAAGAUUAGUUUCCUGAAGUUUGCCUUUUCUCCUUUUUUCACAUUAGCGUUUCCCUUUACAAAGAAUUAAUAGAUUGUGGUGGAGAAAAUUCUCCUGGAGUUUAGAAAGUUGAACCUCUUUCCUUGCUUAGGUGAUAGCAUUGCCACUUCACACAGAGGGCUAAUUUACAUUUAAUGCUCUGGAAAUUAAUUACAGAGAAUAAAGAUAAUUGUGAAAUCACCCCCCCACAUAUGCACUUCCAAAAAUAAACAAACAAACCACAUCAUGAUUACUAAGCAGCCAUCACAUGCCUAAUUUUAUGCACAGCAGGAAGAGCACCAGUAGUCUGGAACUGGAGGGAGGGGAGAGAAGAAAGGAUACUAAUUUGAAAUAUGUAACAGCAGAGGCAGUGUUAUGUGGUAAUGACCUGCAGCUUUCUCAGCAGGAGUGCAAGUACUCAAAGCCUUAUGCAUGGAGUCCAAAGACGUUUGGGUCCAGCCAGUCAGCCACAUGACUUAAUGAUGAUUUGACCAAGUUCGAGAUUUUUUUUCCUAUGCCAGUGGGUGUUUAUUUAUUGCUCUUGCUAAUGCAGUGAACUUAUUAUGCCUUUUUGGGGGGGCUUUUUUCCCUUUUCAUUUCCUUUUUUAUUUCAUUUUUUGAAAGUUUAUUGAAGCAGAGUUAAUUGACAGUGUUGUGAUGUUUUCUGCUAUACAGCAAUGCGAUUCAGUUAUACUUUUAUACAGAAGACUGUGGUUCAUUUACCUGAAGGGGUGGAAUCAUAAUGUGAUCAAGUUUAUAUUUGAUAUCAUUCUAGGCAAUUUGAGUGUCAAGCUAUUUUUUUUUUUUUUUUUUUUUUUUUUUUUUUUGUCUUUUUGCUAUUUCUUGGGCCGCUCCCGCGGCAUAUGGAGGUUCCCAGGCGAGGGGUCUAAUCGGAGCCGUAGCCACCGGCCUACGCCAGAGCCACAGCAACGCAGGAUCCGAGCCGCGUCUGCAACCUACACCACAGCUCACGGCAACGCCGGAUCGUUAACCCACUGAGCAAGGGCAGGGACCGAACCCGCAACCUCAUGGUUCCUAGUCGGAUUCGUUAACCACUGCGCCACAACGGGAACUCCUCAAGCUAUUUUUUAAUGCUGAAGUUAACUUCAGUGGAGCAAGUAAAAUCCUUUGUUACCUGUCCCUACAUGGCUUCCACAAACACUUAUUAGAAUUUUGAGGUAUAGAGGACAAGAGGGAAGGAUGAUACAAAUAAUUUGUAUUUUUUAAUUUUUAUUUUUAGGGUCUUACUUGUGGCAUAUGUAAUUUCCUAGGGUAGGGGUCGAAUCAGAGCUACAGCUGCCAGCCUCUGCUGCAGUCACAGCAAUGCCAGAUCUGAGCUGCAUCUGCAAUAUACACUACGGCUCAUUGCAAUGCCGGAUCUCAACCCACUGAACAAGGCCAGGGCUUGAACAUGCAUCCUCAUGGAUACUAGUCAGAUUCAUUUCCACUGCAUCACAAUGGGAACUUCCAAAUAAAUAUUUUUUGUUCAGAUAUCAGAUUGUCAGUGAGGCCUUCAUUCUCUAAUUUCCAUUUAAAAUAAACAGCCUUUCUCCUCUACUCUCACAACUAUUUCUUAUACUUAAUAUUAACUAUCCUCUUUCUUUUAAAUUAGUUGUCAUUAUUCAUUUGCUUACUUGUUUACCAGUGGUCUGCCACACUAGAAUCUGAAAAAUAAUAGAUGAGGACAAGGAGUUCUGGGGCAUAUAUCUGCAGUUCCUGAAUCAAUAUCUAACACAAGAUAAACACUCAAAUAUUAGAUGAAAGAAUAGGCAGACCCAAACCAUAUGUGCUUUAUUUUACAAGAUUAUCACACAGAAGACAGUGAUACACCAGGUCUUAAUCAAGAGAUAGGACACCUCAGCCACUAAGAGAAGCCUCAGUUAUUUAAUCU